rnacentral:rRNA from 1 species
UACGUAGGUGGCAAGCGUUGUCCGGAAUUAUUGGGCGUAAAGCGCGCGCAGGCGGCCUUUUAAGUCUGAUGUGAAAGCCCACGGCUCAACCGUGGAAGGUCAUUGGAAACUGAAGGGCUUGAGUACAGAAGAGGAAAGCGGAAUUCCACGUGUAGCGGUGAAAUGCGUAGAGAUGUGGAGGAACACCAGUGGCGAAGGCAGCUUUCUGGUCUGUAACUGACGCUGAGGCGCGAAAGCGUGGGGAGCAAACAGG